AUACGGAGGGUGCAAGCGUUAUUCGGAAUCACUGGGCGUAAAGGACGCGUAGGCGGGUUGGCAAGUCAGAUAUGAAAUCCUACAGCUUAACUGUAGAACUGCAUUUGAAACUGCUAACCUAGAGUAUGGGAGGGGGAGAUGGAAUUAGUGGUGUAGGGGUAAAAUCCGUAGAUAUCACUAGGAAUACCGAAAGCGAAGGCGAUCUCCUGGAACAUAACUGACGCUAAGGCGUGAAAGCGUGGGGAGCAAACAGGAUUAGAAACCCCAGUAGUCC
rnacentral:rRNA from 1 species